rnacentral:lncRNA from 1 species
CUGACGAAGGCAGCCGAUUCAUCUGCAACCGGCCCCACAUCGGGAGCUGGGAGAGGAACACGUUUGCUUAUCCCACUCGCGAGCAGAUGAACCAAGUUUCCGGCCUCAAGCCCAACAUGGUUUCCAUCAAGGGCGGCCAGCGCGGGACCUACUGCUACACCCAGAACCUCGAUAUGAAGUGCGGCAGCGGCAGCCCAAACACCCUCGCGCACUGGUUCACAGUCGGGGGGGCGGAUCCCGUGAAAGCCGACUGGACCGGCGGCGGCUUCGGCUCCGCGGACAAGAAGUUUGAUUACUUCAUCUCACUCAAGUCCAACGAGGCCGGCGGUGCUUUUUGCAACGACGCGCGGGGGAGCUCGACCAUCAAGUGCGACAAGCCGACCGUCGGCAAGGGCGAGACAUUCCACAUGCUCUGGCUCUCGACGGAAGAGUCCAAGUCUGCUGACGAGAAGGCGGCGGCUGAAAAGAUCGCCAUCAACUCGGCACCCGCACCGCCGCCCUCGCCCGCGUCUCCGCCGGCGCCGACGCCGACCAUGGCUGAGGGGCUCUUCAUGUUCAUGGGCGGCGAGUCCGGCAGAUCCUGCGCUGACGAAGGCAGCCGAUUCAUCUGCAACCGGCCCCACAUCGGGAGCUGGGAGAGGAACACGUUUGCUUAUCCCACUCGCGAGCAGAUGAACCAAGUUUCCGGCCUCAAGCCCAACAUGGUUUCCAUCAAGGGCGGCCAGCGCGGGACCUACUGCUACACCCAGAACCUCGAUAUGAAGUGCGGCAGCGGCAGCCCAAACACCCUCGCGCACUGGUUCACAGUCGGGGGGGCGGAUCCCGUGAAAGCCGACUGGACCGGCGGCGGCUUCGGCUCCGCGGACAAGAAGUUUGAUUACUUCAUCUCACUCAAGUCCA